UGCAUAAAAUGAUGAAUAUGUGUAAAUUAGAGCUGCAUUGGUCUCGACAAACGAAAAAUGGGGAGUUUUGAGCUACAGGGUUUCUAUAUUUUCCUUCAAAUUUGAAGGGCUACUAUACACUCAUCAACCGAUUAUUUUACUACAUUUUAAUUCUCAAUCGCUAUCCUUUUAUUUUCCCUCUCUCCUUUUCCUCCCCCCGCCUUUUCUCCCUUUCUGGUUCUUUGCAGUGCACCCUAACCUUCUGGCCUCUUUUCACUUCUUCACACUGAAAUCAAAUUGGUUGUAGAAAACCAGUUUCUAUUCAUCAAAAUUUUGCGCGAGCUUCUUCUCCGAAGGCAUCCCGUGUGUUUUCUCUCCCCCUUUCUCUCGUUCUCUCGUUUUCAAGCUCUGCACCGCUUCUUCCUCCCUACGAUUCUUCACGUAGAAUCAGAGUGAGGCUUUUCACUAGGUUGGUCUCCUCUCAGGUUCGUGGGACCUCAACUCAGAUUUCAGGUUCUUCUCAUGCCAAAGAUUUCAGGCUUUUGGGCAUCUUGAAUCUGUUUUUAACGAGUAUUUUCAAUAGAUAUCUAGCAUUCGAUUGUUUUUAACGAGUAUUUCGCUAGGUUGUUUUUUUCUUCUUUUCAAUUUUACUCGCGUGUCAUGUGCAUAACUGGAUACUUUUCAAUAAAUAUCUAGCAUUUGAUUGUAAUCCUUGUAGUCUCACUGCACUUACAUUUGAUCUGUUUGGUUGUCAAGAAUAUGGAAGAAGUGAAAAGAAAUGAAAUGUGAUUUAGAGCCCUGUUUUUAAAAAAUUGGCUUUCACAGGAUUAAAUUGCCACUAUAACUAGUGCAUAUAGUGGUAUGAGGCUCAGUUAAGUGAAGAUUUUACUUUGUUGAGUUCCCAACAUCAACACGUCUUAAGUUCAUUUCUUUUUUUGUUUCACAUUAUCUCAGUAUUCUUAUAUUAAUGAAUAGCAUAAUAUAAACUACCCUCAGAUCCAAGCAUGUUGCAUGUUUGAUUUCUGUUCUCAGAGAAUUGACUCUCUCCCUGAUGCCAUUCUUUAGCAUAUCUUGUCGCAGAUAAACACUUAGAUAUUCUUGCCCCGCUGUAAAUGUCCUUGUUUGGGAUCUUAUGGGCUGAGUGUUCAUCAAUAAGAUAUCCUGCUGUAGCUACUUCAAUAACAUUUGUGUUUAUAUUUGUACAUAAUCUGAAUGUUGGAAAUGUUAUUUAUUAGCUCAUUAUAUUUCUGCAUUGAAUCUAAGAUUCUGGAGAUAUGCAGUAGACUGCUAGUUUGGGUUUCAAAAUGGUCAAUUUUUACCUGCAAUAUUUAAUUUGAAUGUUGGCUAUAUUAAGAAAUAUAUAUUGAUGGUCCGGUUAAUUUUCUCUCAAGGUAUUGAUGCCUUUUGGCUAUUAAUCUGGUAACAAUAUUGGCUAUUAACAAUAAUUUAAGUAUCAAAUUAAAUUAUUAAUGUAUAUAUGGUUAGUGUAAUUGCAAAAUAUGAACAAAAUUGAAGAUAGCUUUGAUGAAGCCAUGCUCUUAGUGACAGAAAGAUAGCUCCAGCUCAAGAAACCCAUCAAUGUUUGAUUCAUUAUGAUUUUUGACAAUUUCUUUUAAAGGCUUAGCCAUUUUAGCUCAUUGUUCCGUGAGAUAGCCGUUUCAACUCAUUAUUGUGUGUUAACUUAUGCAGGGUUCAUUUCUUCGGUUUCUUCUUCAAUAAAUGUGUCAUUACACUGUGUAAUUAUCAGCAAGCUUUACCUUUGGUUCAGUCAGACGCUAUGCAUUAAAAAUUCAUACUAAUUCUACUAGUUUUUGUGUGAUAUUGGAGAGAUUCCAAAUAAAAGAGAUGUGUUUUUUAUGGAACUUUGGGCUCAAUUACAUAUGCAGGGUUAGUUCAAGUCAUAAUCAUUGGGCUGUUGUAUCUUGAAAGGGACAAGCCAAGAUGAGGUAUGCUGCACUAGUGUUUAAACAUUAUUUACUACAGAAGGCUUGAAUCUCCUUAAAGAAAGCGAGAUUUCCGUGCUCAGUCCAACCGGCUUUGUUCUUUUUUGUUAUUUGUUAUUUCAGUUUCUUGUAAUUUAUUUUGUUAUUGUUAUUUUUCAACAACAAUUUUAAGGAGAUUCAAAUGGACUUUACAGUUUAAAAAUCUAAUGAUAGCAUCGGAGAUCUCAACAAGCCAUUUCGCUUCAAGGGAGCCCAUUUCAAGCUGUGAAAGUGCAAAGUGCUCUUUUAUCUUUGACUACUCAAUGUCUCCUAUGUGCUCAUGGAGAAGAAUCCAAACAAGACCGACAAAAUGACAGAAGAGCAACACAAGGCUCAUCAAGAUAAGAGUUUGGUCCAAAAUCAAGCUUUGCUUAUGAUGAUGAGAUUGAGGAGUAACUCAAGGCUUAUGGUAUGCAUGAAUGAUUCACUUGCAAAAUGGUGGAUUAAAAUGGAAUGUAAGUAGUAGCUUUGGAAACCCAAGGAUGAGUGGAGGUUUUUGUUGCUGCCUUCUCAACAAAUUAUGGAAUUGGUUUUAAUAGUUUUAACAGCAAUUGUAUAGAAAAAUAUUUUUAUUUUGCAGUUUUUCUCUUGAUAGUUUUGUACAAAAUACAGUAUUUUGCACACUCCUUAGUAAUAAAAUGAUAUUUAUUUGUAUGGAAAACAAACCAAA